rnacentral:rRNA from 1 species
UCGCGAAUCUUCCACAAUGGGCGCAAGCCUGAUGGAGCCAUGCCGCGUGCAGGAGGACGGCCUUCGGGUUGUAAACUGCUGUCGAGAGAGGGGAAUGCUUAUAGGUGAAUAGUCUGUAAGUUGACUGCUUUCUGGAGGAAGCACCAGCAAAACAUGUGCCAGCAGCUGCGGUAAUACAUGUGGUGCAAGCGUUGUUCGGAUUUACUGGGCUUAAAGGGUGCGUAGGCGGCGUUAUAAGUCAGGGGUGAAAGUCGAUGGCCCAACCAUCGAAGUGCCUUUGAUACUGUGAUGCUUGAGUGGGUGAGGGGCAGACGGAACGAGUGGUGUAGCGGUGAAAUGCGUAGAUAUCACUCGGAAGGCCGGAGGCGAAGGCGGUCUGCUGGUACCCAACUGACGCUGAGGCACGAAAGCGUGGGGAUCAAACAGG